GAUGAACGCUAGCGAUAGGCUUAACACAUGCAAGUCGAGGGGCAGCAUGGUCUUAGCUUGCUAAGACUGAUGGCGACCGGCGCACGGGUGCGUAACGCGUAUGCAACUUGCCUCACAGAGGGGGAUAACCCGUCGAAAGACGGACUAAUACCGCGUACACUCUAUUUUGGGCAUCCAAGGUAGAGGAAAUGAAAUUCGCUGUGAGAUAGGCAUGCGUCCCAUUAGCUAGUUGGUGAGGUAACGGCUCACCAAGGCGACGAUGGGUAGGGGAACUGAGAGGUUGAACCCCCAAGCUGGUACUGAGACACGGACCAGACUCCUACGGGAGGCAGCAGUGAGGAAUAUUGGUCAAUGGGCGAGAGCCUGAACCAGCCAAGUCGCGUGAAGGAUGACUGUCUUAUGGAUUGUAAACUUCUUUUGAAGGGGAAUAAAGAGGGGCACGUGUGCCCCAGUGAAUGUACCCUACGAAUAAGCAGCGGCUAACUCCGUG
rnacentral:rRNA from 1 species